rnacentral:rRNA from 1 species
UAAACAUUGGUACAUUAUUACAUUUUCAAUCCGCCCGGGUACUACAAGCGCUAGCUUAAAACCCAAAGGACUUGGCGGUGCUUAAGAUCCCCCUAGAGGAGCCUGUUCUAGAACCGAUAAUCCACGUUUAACCUCACCCUCCCUUGUUUCUCCCGCCUAUAUACCGCCGUCGUCAGCUUACCCUGUGAAGGUCUAACAGUGAGCAAAAAUGGCACAGCCCAAAACGUCAGGUCGAGGUGUAGCGCAUGAGAGGGGAAGAAAUGGGCUACAUUCUCUAAAAUAGAAGCAUACGGAUAAUAUAUUGAAAUAUAUAUUUUAAGGAGGAUUUAGCAGUAAGUAGAAAUUAGAAUAUUCCACUGAAUCCGGCCCUAAAGCGCGC